UUUCAGAGCUCUAGGCUAGCAUCUUCCAUACAUUAUCAGUUAUUCCACGAAACUGUAUAAUUUAGGUACUAUUAUUCCUAUUUUACAGAUGAAAAGGAAAUUUAGAGUGGUUGAAUAGUUACUGGGUUACUAAAUGUGAGAUGGAAGAUUUGAAUCCUGGAAGUUUAAUUCUACAGCCUGCGAAGUGUGUAAUGUGUUACACAGAAAAGUCUGGAAUGUAUAUACAUUUUCCUGCCUGGCAAGACAUCACAACUGAUUUUACCAUGGAGCAAGCAGUCUGUAGCCAGCACUGGGCUGUAACCUAGUACUUGGUCUUUAAUCUCUGAUCUUAAGCAUUACAUUUUCUUUGAAUUGUUUUAAAGCCUUAUAUUUUAUUUUUCAAUAUUUAUGUAGAAAACAAUAGGGCCCGAUGCAAUUUCUUUUUUGUUUUGUUUUGUUUUUUUGAGACAGGGUCUCACUAUGUAGUUGAGACUGACCUGGAACUCACUAUGUAGCCCAGGCUGGUCUCAAACUCACAGUGAUCCUCCUGCCUCAGCCUCCCAAGUGCUGGGAUUAUAGGAGUGUGCCACCACACCAGGUCGGAUGCAGUUUCUUGGUAAUGUAGCCUGCCAAACAAGUGGUUGAUAUGUAAAUAGGCAGGGCCAGGAAAGGAAUUUACUUUUUUUUUUUUUUUUUUUUUUUUUUGCAGUCUUGCUUUUCUCUCUCUUCUGAGGAAGCUGGGGAUGGAAGAGCAAGCAGAGAAGUAGUUGUUAACUCACGUUCCUGUUUGGGAGGGGCUGGAGGAGCAGAGAGAGAGUGCAGGUGUGUGUCAGAGAUGAGGAAGGGUCACAAGAUGGCUGAGGU
rnacentral:lncRNA from 1 species